CAGCCGCCGCGGGAAUACAGAGGGUGCGAGCGUUAAUCGGAUUUACUGGGCGUAAAGCGUGCGUAGGCGGCUUUUUAAGUCGGAUGUGAAAUCCCUGAGCUUAACUUAGGAAUUGCAUUCGAUACUGGGAAGCUAGAGUAUGGGAGAGGAUGGUAGAAUUCCAGGUGUAGAGGUGAAAUGCGUAGAGAUCUGGAGGAAUACCGAUGGCGAAGGCAGCCAUCUGGCCUAAUACUGACGCUGAGGUACGAAAGCAUGGGGAGCAAACAGGAUUAGAUACCCCUGUAGUCCCUGUCUCUUAUAC
rnacentral:rRNA from 1 species